CUAUACAGAGAGUGGAACAAAAGAAGAGAGAAUUCAAGAAAAAGAUGACACGCGUUCACUGCCAUUUCAGUGACCAUUAGUUCAUCAAAAGGUACAAUUUUUCAGUGUUUUAAUAUUCUCUGCAGCUUCUUCAAUAUUUCUCCAUGUUGCUAACGUGUUCAUUACGCCGUUGUUGGAUUUCAAGCUAUCCAUUGAUUGAUACACCGAAACUCCGUGAUACUCAAGCAAAGAUUGCUUCCCUUCCGGCGUCAAUUUCUUAAAUUUCGGAACAAAUUUCUUCAUUGCGUCAUCUCCCGGGCAAAAUUCCGUUAAUCCGCCGUCAACAUUGUGUUCAAAUGCUUAGGGUUUUGAGGAGGUGGUGGUUCUGGUGUUGGCUGAGGAUGAAGGGAUGGUGUAAUUUGAAUUCUGACAGCGGCGGAGAGAGCAGAGGAGGAUGCCCUAGAGAGGGGGAAGAGUGGCAGUG
rnacentral:lncRNA from 1 species